rnacentral:lncRNA from 1 species
CACUCUGGAGAAGAGUACUGCUGUUGUCUGGUGGCUAAAAGCAAAAUCACAUAAAGAGGGAAGAGAAAGGAGAGUAAAACAAAGCUGUCUCUCACUCCCAGCUCGAUAACAAAUGCAGCAAGUGAUCUCAUAAGCGCACCAGGUAGUGCCUCUGGGCUGGCACGGUGCCCACCUGUGCCAUCUGCUGAGCAUCAAACCUUCCUCUGCUUCCCAUCCUGCAGAACCUGCUGCAGCCGGGCUCUGCUUUUCUGCUGAAAUCACUGCGGCACACAGCCAGCCCAGGCAAAACUGCUCAUCGGUCAAUCAGAAUUUGCAGUUCCCAUCUGCCACAAGCUGGGCCUUUGGCUGGAGAAGUAGCUGCAGGCUGUUGCUCUCCAAAGGAGCUCAGAAAUUAGGGUCUGUCUGCAUCACAGUGCCAGGAGUUCAUUUAUCUCUUUUUGGUAAGUAAAUGUAAUGUGGACACACCUGUAGUUUUUAUGAAGCCCUCCUUUAGGUGAGCAUCUAAGGUUCUUC